rnacentral:rRNA from 1 species
GUGGGGAAUAUUGGACAAUGGGCGCAAGCCUGAUCCAGCAAUGCCGCGUGGGUGAAGAAGGCCUUCGGGUUGUAAAGCCCUUUUGUACGGAAAGAAAUCCUGGUGGUUAAUACCCGCCGGGGAUGACGGUACCGUAAGAAUAAGCACCGGCUAACUUCGUGCCAGCAGCCGCGGUAAUACGAAGGGUGCAAGCGUUAAUCGGAAUUACUGGGCGUAAAGCGUGCGUAGGUGGUUUCUUAAGUCUGUCGUGAAAGCCCUGGGCUCAACCUGGGAAUGGCGAUGGAUACUGGGAGGCUAGAGUGCGGUAGAGGAUGGCGGAAUUCCCGGUGUAGCGGUGAAAUGCGUAGAGAUCGGGAGGAACAUCUGUGGCGAAGGCGGCCAUCUGGACCAGCACUGACACUGAGGCACGAAAGCGUGGGGAGCAAACAGGAUUAGAUACCCUAGUAGUCC